rnacentral:rRNA from 1 species
UUGGAGGGCAAGUCUGGUGCCAGCAGCCGCGGUAAUUCCAGCUCCAAUAGCGUAUAUUAAAGUUGUUGCAGUUAAAAAGCUCGUAGUUGAAUUUCGGGGUUAGUAGGUUGGUCAUGCCUCUGGUAUGUACUGAUCUCACUGAUUCCUCCUUCCUGAUGAGCCGUAAUGCCAUUAAUUUGGUGUUGCGGGGAAUUUGGACUGUUACUUUGAAAAAAUUAGAGUGUUUAAAGCAAGCUAACGCUUGAAUACAUUAGCAUGGAAUAAUGAAAUAGGACGUUCGAUCCUAUUUUGUUGGUUUCUAGGAUUGACGUAAUGAUUAAUAGGGAUAGUUGGGGGCAUUAGUAUUCAAUUGUCAGAGGUGAAAUUCUUGGGUUUAUUGAAGACUAACUACUGCGAAAGCAUUUGCCAAGGAUGUUUUCAUUAAUCAAGAACGAAAGUUAGGGGAUCGAAGACGAUCAGAUACCGUCGUAGUCUUAACCAUAAACUAUGCCGACUAGGGAUCGGAUGAUGUUAAUUUUUUAAUGACCCAUUCGGCGCCUUACGGGAAAC